UGCUGUUAACGCGAUUCAACCUUAAUAGGAUAUGCUAAACACUGCCGUUUGAAGUCUGUUUAGAAGAAACUUAAUCAAACUAGCAUCAUGUUGGUUGUUUAUCACUUUUCAUGAUGCGAAACCUAUCGAUAAACUACACACGUAGAAAGAUGUGUAUCAGGACCUUUGGACGCGGGUUCAAAUCCCGCCGUCUCCAUAU
rnacentral:tmRNA from 1 species